AUUGAACGCUGGCGGCAGGCCUAACACAUGCAAGUCGAACGGUAACAGGAAGCAGCUUGCUGCUUUGCUGACGAGUGGCGGACGGGUGAGUAAUGUCUGGGAAACUGCCCGAUGGAGGGGGAUAACUACUGGAAACGGUAGCUAAUACCGCAUAACGUCGCAAGACCAAAGAGGGGGACCUUAGGGCCUCUUGCCAUCGGAUGUGCCCAGAUGGGAUUAGCUAGUAGGUGGGGUAACGGCUCACCUAGGCGACGAUCCCUAGCUGGUCUGAGAGGAUGACCAGCCACACUGGAACUGAGACACGGUCCAGACUCCUACGGGGGGCAGCAGUGGGGAAUAUUGCACAAUGGGCGCAAGCCUGAUGCAGCCAUGCCGCGUGUAUGAAGAAGGCCUUCGGGUUGUAAAGUACUUUCAGCGGGGAGGAAGGGAGUAAAGUUAAUACCGUUGCUCAUUGACGUUACCCGCAGAAGAAGCACCGGCUAACUCCGUG
rnacentral:rRNA from 1 species